rnacentral:rRNA from 1 species
UACGUAGGGAGCAAGCGUUGUCCGGAAUCAUUGGGCGUAAAGCGCGCGUAGGUGGCCAUGUAAGUCCGCUGUGAAAGUCGAAGGCUCAACCUUCGAAAGCCGGUGGAUACUGCAUGGCUAGAGUACGGAAGAGGCGAGUGGAAUUCCUGGUGUAGCGGUGGAAUGCGCAGAUAUCAGGAGGAACACCAAUAGCGAAGGCAGCUCGCUGGGACGUUACUGACACUCAUGCACGAAAGCGUGGGGAGCAAACAGG